rnacentral:rRNA from 1 species
UAGGGAAUCUUCCGCAAUGGACGCAAGUCUGACGGAGCAACGCCGCGUGAGUGAAGAAGGAUUUCGGUUCGUAAAACUCUGUUGUUAGAGAAGAACAGCGCAUAGAGUAACUGUUAUGCGUGUGACGGUAUCUAACCAGAAAGCCACGGCUAACUACGUGCCAGCAGCCGCGGUAAUACGUAGGUGGCAAGCGUUGUCCGGAUUUAUUGGGCGUAAAGCGAGCGCAGGCGGUCAAUUAAGUCUGAUGUGAAAGCCCCCGGCUCAACCGGGGAGGGUCAUUGGAAACUGGUUGACUUGAGUGCAGAAGAGGAGAGUGGAAUUCCAUGUGUAGCGGUGAAAUGCGUAGAUAUAUGGAGGAAAACCAGUGGCGAAGGCGACUCUCUGGUCUGUAACUGACGCUGAGGAUCGAAAGCGUGGGUAGCAAACAGG